CCUACGGGAGGCAGCAGUAGGGAAUAUUGCUCAAUGGGGGAAACCCUGAAGCAGCAACGCCGCGUGGAGGAUGAAGGUUUUCGGAUUGUAAACUCCUUUUGUUAGAGAAGAUAAAGACGGUAUCUAACGAAUAAGCACCGGCUAACUCCGUGCCAGCAGCCGCGGUAAUACGGAGGGUGCAAGCGUUACUCGGAAUCACUGGGCGUAAAGAGCGCGUAGGCGGGAUAGCAAGUCAGAUGUGAAAUACUAUGGCUUAACCAUAGAACUGCAGUUGAAACUGGUAUGCUAGAGUAUGGGAGAGGUAGGUGGAAUGCUUGGUGUAGGGGUGAAAUGCGUAGAGAUCAAGAGGAAUACCCAUUGCGAAGGCGACCUGCUGGAACAUAACUGACGCUGAUGCGCGAAAGCGUGGGGAGCAAACAGGAUUAGAUACCCCAGUAGUC
rnacentral:rRNA from 1 species